AGAUACUUCCUGGACAACUGCUAUAAAAACAACAACAAAUACUUUUAUUAAUUCGGGGAGCCUGGUCACCAACUGGAUGCUCAGAGUUCCUUGCUGCCAAAGGAAGAAUUUGUGGGAAGAGGAAACUCUUCUCUCUCGUUGCUCGGCCUGGCCCUCCACCUUUUCCAUUAAUGAUGAAGAAUUUCUUUUCAUCAAACGGUCCUCUUCAUUAUCCUCUUUCCCUGGGUUGGAUUUUUCCCCACACUGCCAUGUCUGAAAGUAGAAUUGAGUUAUCCUCAAUGUGGAUUCAGCCUCCAAGUAACUCUACUAAUGAACAACUUAAUUCACAAUAAAAACAUGGGUCAGUCUUGACUCUUUUUAAA
rnacentral:lncRNA from 1 species